AAAGAAUUAGUUAAAGUAUAACCUUAGUAUGUCAAACUAACAUAACUAGUAUAAAUCUAGUAUUCUUUA
rnacentral:tRNA from 1 species